rnacentral:lncRNA from 1 species
UCAUCAUCCACUUCCGGUCUUAACUAGAACUGUGCCUAUGGAUCUUACAUUUCCUCACUCUGUUCCUCACAGUGGAAACUGACAGCUGAAAUGUCUGAGAUUUGAGGUUUUUGUAUCCUUCCCCUAAACCAUAAUGUUGAACAAUCUUUGUCUUAGAAGUAGUUUUACCACUGUAUAGCCAAAUGUAUUUAAUUGUAGCCACUGUUUAUUCAUAUGUAUUGUAUCGUAAGUUGUUGCAAAUACACAGCUCUAAUCAGAUUCCUAUGUCUCUUUUGUUUUUUUGCAGAGUGCUUUCUGGGAAAAGUGCUCGAUAAAGUCAAGCAACCUAUCAAAUUGUGGUUGGGCAUCCUCGGGUUCGCCGAUACAGGUUUUCAUUGGCUAAAAGAUCCUUUCGGACAUUUGCAAUUAAAUAUUUUGUAUAAUUUACAGAUAUUACUGUUAUUAGAACAUUCUGGAUAUUCAUCAUGUCAAAUUGUGUUGUAUUGUUAACGUGUAAUUGUGGACCUUAUGUUCAAGUGUCAAUUUGUUUAUUUGAAGAUUUGCUGAUGUGUUUUCUGAGGAAAUGGAUCAGCUCGGCAGUCGGCUGCAUGAAUGAUGAGGACUACCUUUCUCAGCUGGAGGAAAACAUCAUGAGGGAAAUGGAUUUUAAUCUACAAGAUUACAUAUCCUGUAUGACAUUUGGACAGAAGAAGUGUUUACCGAUGUUUUCGCGACUUUAUGGUAAAGCUUUUUUUCUUUUCUUACUUUAUUUCUGUUAUUAAAUAAACAAUAAUCUGACUUCCUUUGA